AUUGAACGCUGGCGGCCGGCCUAACACAUGCAAGUCGAACGAGUGGCGGACGGGUGAGUAAUGUCUGGGAAACUGCCUGAUGGAGGGGGAUAACUACUGGAAACGGUAGCUAAUACCGCAUACCAUCAGAUGUGCCCAGAUGGGAUUAGCUAGUAGGUGGGGUACUGGCUCACCUAGGCGCCGAUCCCUAGCUGGUCUGAGAGGAUGACCAGCCACACUGGAAGUGAGACACGGUCCAGACUCCGACGGGAGGCAGCAGUGGGGAAUAUUGCACAAGUGGCGCAAGCCGGAAGCAGCCAUGCCGCGUGUGUGAAGAAGGCCGUCGGGUUGUAAAGCACAGUCAGCGAGGAGGCGUUACUCGCAGAAUAAGCACCGGCUAACUCCGGGCAAGCAGCCGCGGUAAUAC
rnacentral:rRNA from 1 species